rnacentral:rRNA from 1 species
AAGCGCUCAUGACCAGACUUGGGCCCGGUGAAUCAUCCAGCGUUCUCGCUGGUGCACUUUGCCGGGCUCAGGCCAGCAUCAGUUUGCUCCGGGGGAUAAAGGCUUUGGGAAUGUGGCUCCUCCGGGAGUGUUAUAGCCCAUUGCACAAUACCCUGGGGCGGACUGAGGUUCGCGCAUUUAUGCAAGGAUGCUGGCGUAAUGGUCAUCAGCGA